rnacentral:rRNA from 1 species
UAGGGAAUCUUCGGCAAUGGGGGGAACCCUGACCGAGCAACGCCGCGUGAGUGAAGAAGGUUUUCGGAUCGUAAAGCUCUGUUGUUAAGGAAGAACGAGUGUGAGAAUGGAAAGUUCAUACUGUGACGGUACUUAACCAGAAAGGGACGGCUAACUACGUGCCAGCAGCCGCGGUAAUACGUAGGUCCCGAGCGUUGUCCGGAUUUAUUGGGCGUAAAGCGAGCGCAGGCGGUUAGAUAAGUCUGAAGUGAAAGGCAGUGGCUCAACCAUUGUAGGCUUUGGAAACUGUUUAACUUGAGUGCAGAAGGGGAGAGUGGAAUUCCAUGUGUAGCGGUGAAAUGCGUAGAUAUAUGGAGGAACACCGGUGGCGAAGGCGACUCUCUGGUCUGUAACUGACGCUGAGGCUCGAAAGCGUGGGGAGCGAACAGG